GACGAACCGUCCAAACGUUAUUCGGAAUCACUGGGCUUACAGAGUUCGUAGGCGGUCUGGAAAGUUGGGUGUGAAAUCCCUCGGCUCAACCGAGGAACUGCGCUUGAAACUACCAGACUCGAGGGAGAUAGAGGAAAGCGGAACUGAUGGUGGAGCGGUGAAAUGCGUUGAUAUCAUCAGGAACACCGGUGGCGAAGGCGGCUUUCUGGGUCUUACCUGACGCUGAGGAACGAAAGCUAGGGGAGCGAACGG
rnacentral:rRNA from 1 species